AUUGAACGCUGGCGGCAUGCCUUACACAUGCAAGUCGAACGGCAGCAUGAUCUAGCUUGCUAGAUUGCUGGCGGGGGGCGGACGGGUGAGUCAUACAUAGGAACGCGCCCUGUAGGGGGGGACAACUAGAAGAAAGAUUAACUAAUACCGCAUACGACCUGAGGGAGAAAGUGGGGGACAGCAAGGCCGCAUGCUAUAGGAGCGGCCGAUGUCUGAUUAGCUAGUUGGUGAGGUAAAGGCUCACCAAGGCGACGAUCAGUAGCGGGUCUGAGAGGACGAUCAGCCACACUGGGACUGAGACACGGCCCAGACUCCUACGGGAGGCAGCAGUGGGGAAUUUUGGACAAUGGGCGAAAGCCUGAUCCAGCAAUGCCGCGUGUGUGAAGAAGGCCUUCGGGUUGUAAAGCACUUUUGUCCGGAAAGAAAUGGCUCUGGUUAAUACCUGGGGUGGAUGACGGUACCGGAAGAAUAAGGACCGGCUAACUACGUG
rnacentral:rRNA from 1 species